GAUGAACGCUGGCGGCGUGCCUAAUACAUGCAAGUCGAGCGAACAGACGAGGAGCUUACUCCUCUGACGUUAGCGGCGGACGGGUGAGUAACACGUGGAUAACCUACCUAUAAGACUGGGAUAACUUCGGGAAACCGGAGCUAAUACCGGAUAACAUGUUGAACCGCAUGGUUCAAUAGUGAAAGACGGUUUUGCUGUCACUUAUAGAUGGAUCCGCGUCGCAUUAGCUAGUUGGUAAGGUAACGGCUUACCAAGGCAACGAUGCGUAGCCGACCUGAGAGGGUGAUCGGCCACCCUUGAACUGAGACACGGUCCAGACUCCUACGGGAGGCAGCAGUAGGGAAUCUUCCGCAAUGGGCGAAAGCCUGACGGAGCAACGCCGCGUGAGUGAAGAAGGUCUUCGGAUCGUAAAACUCUGUUAUUAGGGAAGAACAAAUGUGUAAGUAACUAUGCACGUCUUGACGGUACCUAAUCAGAAAGCCACGGCUAACUACGUG
rnacentral:rRNA from 1 species